rnacentral:lncRNA from 1 species
UGUAUGUUUUCCUGCAGGUCCAUGGCUAGCAGUGAUCGCCAAUCCAUGGAAUUCCUUUUUCUAGACUAUGUUAAAAUAUGUUACACAAAUGGUGAAAAGACUACCUAAUUUAUGGUGAAGGUAGCUUCUUGAUAUUUAGAACCCUCUCAGAAUGAUUAAACAUAAACCUAAGAGCUUUUGUUAUUUUCUAUUUGUAAUACUUUUUAGGGCACCAAAAGUUUCUAAUUAACUUUCCUGUUAUAUAAAGAUAUUGCUUUUUAUUUAGGUCCAUGAUUACUUUGAAAUUUCCCAUAAUGAAAUAAAAAUAGGACUAUUUUACUAUAGCAUCACUUUUUUCCCUCGCACGGUAUAUAUUACUGAUAGCUAAGUUCAGUUGACAAGAAAGGAAACUGCUCUGCUCUAUAAUAUAUAAAAACCAGCCUUGUGAAGCAUGAGUUAGAGUAAAUGACUAGUUCAUAGAUAUUUUUGCAGUUACCAGUGAUGAAAGUUCCUCAGAAAAGAUGAACAAAGUUAGCUAAUAUUUGAAUUAUUUGUUUCUUUAAGUCCCUUGAAAGGCAUUUUCUA